GGAAAUGUUGAUGUUCUUCAUAGUGGGAUACAAAAGGUGUGUUAGCGACUGAAUAAGGAAAAUAUUGCGUGUGAAACAGGGUCAGUAUAGAGUCGGCAGGAGCCGCGAAGAGUGCUGUUGUCGAAGAAAAAUGUCACAAUUAAUUGUAUUAAAUCUUGUCCAUUCACCCCUGUGUCAGUUUGAAAAAGCUUUAAAUGAUGAGACACUUGUGGUUCGACUGGUUCCUCCAGCAUAAUUUAGCCGUUCAACGCUAUUAUGUUUCUAAUGGUUGAAAGAGCGCGUGGAAAGGGCAAUUUAAGAACACAAACAACUACAAUGUACUGUGUUAAUUGCUACUGUAGUAUUAAAAUACCUGAAAAGAGUCUCAAUUCUAAUAUUAAAUCGGUUUAUAUAAACCUUGAUAAUAUUAAAGUUUUCAGAAGAUUUGUAUAUCAGAGGAAUAUUAAACGG